AUGCAAGUCGAGCGGAAACGAUCCUAGCUUGCUAGGAGGCGUCGAGCGGCGGACGGGUGAGUAACGCGUGAGAAUCUACCCAUGAGUGGGGGACAACCCGGGGAAACUCGGGCUAAUACCGCAUACGCCCUACGGGGUAAAGCAGGGGACCUUCGGGCCUUGCGCUGAUGGAUGAGCUCGCGUCGGAUUAGCUUGUUGGUGAGGUAAAGGCUCACCAAGGCGACGAUCCGUAGCUGGUCUGAGAGGAUGAUCAGCCACACCGGGACUGAGACACGGCCCGGACUCCUACGGGAGGCAGCAGUGGGGAAUCUUGGACAAUGGGGGCAACCCUGAUCCAGCCAUGCCGCGUGUGUGAAGAAGGCCUUCGGGUUGUAAAGCACUUUCAGCAGGGAGGAAGGCUUACCCCUAAUACGGGUGAGUACUUGACGUUACCUGCAGAAGAAGCACCGGCUAAUUUCGUGCCAGCAGCCGCGGUAAUACGAAAGGUGCAAGCGUUAAUCGGAAUUACUGGGCGUAAAGCGCGCGUAGGCGGUGUGUUAAGUCGGAUGUGAAAGCCCAGGGCUCAACCUUGGAAUUGCAUCCGAUACUGGCACGCUAGAGUGCAGUAG
rnacentral:rRNA from 1 species